rnacentral:rRNA from 1 species
AGUUCGGAUCGCAGGCUGCAACCCGCCUGCGUGAAGUCGGAAUCGCUAGUAAUCGCGGAUCAGCAUGCCGCGGUGAAUACGUUCCCGGGCCUUGUACACACCGCCCGUCACACCAUGAGAGUCGGGAACACCCGAAGCCCGUAGCCUAACAGCAAUGAGGGCGCAGUCGAAGGUGGGAUUGAUAAUUAGGGUGAAGUCGUAACAAGGUAAC